UGGGGAAUAUUGCACAAUGGGCGCAAGCCUGAUGCAGCAACGCCGCGUGAGCGAGGAAGGCCUUCGGGUCGUAAAGCUCUGUCCUUGGGGAAGAAGGAAGUGACGGUACCCACGGAGGAAGCCCCGGCUAACUACGUGCCAGCAGCCGCGGUAAUACGUAGGGGGCGAGCGUUAUCCGGAAUUAUUGGGCGUAAAGAGUACGUAGGUGGUUUUGUAAGCGCGGGGUGAAAGGCAGUGGCUUAACCAUUGUUAGCCUUGCGAACUGCAAGACUUGAGUGCAGGAGAGGGAAGCGGAAUUCCUAGUGUAGCGGUGAAAUGCGUAGAUAUUAGGAGGAACACCAGUGGCGAAGGCGGCUUUCUGGACUGUAACUGACACUGAGGUACGAAAGCGUGGGGAGCAAACAGG
rnacentral:rRNA from 1 species